rnacentral:tRNA from 3 species
GGCGGACGUGGCCAAGUGGAUUAAGGCAGUGGAUUGU